rnacentral:rRNA from 1 species
UACGAAGGGGGCUAGCGUUGCUCGGAAUUACUGGGCGUAAAGGGCGCGUAGGCGGAUGUCUAAGUUGGGGGUGAAAUCCCGGGGCUCAACCUCGGAACCGCCUUCAAUACUGGAUAUCUUGAGUUCGGGAGAGGUGAGUGGAAUGCCGAGUGUAGAGGUGAAAUUCGUAGAUAUUCGCAAGAACACCAGUGGCGAAGGCGGCUCACUGGCCCGAUACUGACGCUGAGGCGCGAAAGCGUGGGGAGCAAACAGG